CAGUCGCCGCGGGAAUACGUAGGGUGCGAGCGUUAAUCGGAAUUACUGGGCGUAAAGCGUGCGCAGGCGGUUCGUUAAGACAGAUGUGAAAUCCCCGGGCUUAACCUGGGAACUGCAUUUGUGACUGGCGAGCUAGAGUAUGGCAGAGGGGGGUAGAAUUCCACGUGUAGCAGUGAAAUGCGUAGAGAUGUGGAGGAAUACCGAUGGCGAAGGCAGCCCCCUGGGCCAAUACUGACGCUCAUGCACGAAAGCGUGGGGAGCAAACAGGAUUAGAUACCCCUGUCGUCCCUGUCUCUUAUAC
rnacentral:rRNA from 1 species